CUAUAUAAAUAUAGAAUAGGAGAGUUCUCUCUGUAACAAUCGAUUCUGUUACCAUUUUGUAGUUGCAUGUCUCGUCUUUAGCAACAACAAUGUCGUCUUUAUUUUUGAGCGUCUGAAUCACAGAGAAAACAAACAGUUAAUUAGAAAAUAUUUUCAUUGUGUGCUUUAUAUAAAUUUAAUGCAAAAUAUUAUAACAUUAUUAAUGACAUUAUAUAUAAAGGAACCUAAAAUAUAGGUUUGAACAGUAUAU
rnacentral:sRNA from 1 species